rnacentral:rRNA from 1 species
GAGUGAACGCUGGCGGUAGGCCUAACACAUGCAAGUCGAACGGCAGCACAGUAAGAGCUUGCUCUUACGGGUGGCGAGUGGCGGACGGGUGAGGAAUACAUCGGAAUCUACUUUUUCGUGGGGGAUAACGUAGGGAAACUUACGCUAAUACCGCAUACGACCUACGGGUGAAAGCAGGGGAUCUUCGGACCUUGUGCGAUUGAAUGAGCCGAUGUCGGAUUAGCUAGUUGGCGGGGUAAAGGCCCACCAAGGCGACGAUCCGUAGCUGGUCUGAGAGGAUGAUCAGCCACACUGGAACUGAGACACGGUCCAGACUCCUACGGGAGGCAGCAGUGGGGAAUAUUGGACAAUGGGCGCAAGCCUGAUCCAGCCAUACCGCGUGGGUGAAGAAGGCCUUCGGGUUGUAAAGCCCUUUUGUUGGGAAAGAAAAGCAGCAGGUUAAUACCCCGCUGUUCUGACGGUACCCAAAGAAUAAGCACCGGCUAACUUCGUG